rnacentral:lncRNA from 1 species
UCCGGCCCCCCCCCCCCCCCCCCCCGGCACCAUACCCCGAUCUGGUUACCCCUGCUGGUGAGCCAGACAGAUGCUCACUGUGUGAGUGAGUGAGUGAGAGAGAGAGAGAGCGAAAGAGAGGAGCAGGAUGUACAAGCUGCUGUGGUUCUGGACGAGCGUGGCUCUUCUGAUGUCCUGCUGUGGUCAUGGGAAGCUGAGUGAACCGGUUUGGUGUGGCAGUAAGACUCUGACAUGGAGCUGGCUUCAACUGGACUACAUCACACAGGACCCAGGAGAAUACGACUAUUCAAACUCCACAGACUACUACCUAUUCUUUGACAAUGAAACGGUGAUUGACUAUGACGACUGGGGAAGUGGUUCAGCCGACCAGACGGUUGUCGGUAUGGGUCAGGUGACCCUGGUUCUGCUGCUUGGAUUGGCUUUCCCACAUGUCCUUCAUUGAGUGGGCGGGCUUUAAGCCUCCAGAUCUUCGGCCCAGCCAGAGAGGGACAAGUUUGAAGCGUCCAAUCAGAAGGAGAGACCAUGGUACCUGUCUGAGCUCCGUCGACUCCAGCACCGCCCAGCACGAUUACUAUUCCCCACAGUUGGACAUCGUUUCCAUCAUGGCUAAGAAACAUGCAUUCAAAUGAUAUUUUGCAGUUUAUUUUUAUAAAUAAAGGUUUGUUCAAAUCCCUGGUUCAACCCCAAGUUCCCCGGUGAUCAGAGAUGCACAUCGGUGAACAGUCGUUGUCGUACAUUGCAUGACGGGUAUGAGGAUGUGGAGCACUAUUCAGGGACCCUGAUUGGUUGACUGUUUAGGACGCGUCACUGUCAUAUCUCACAGGGUACAGCGGACAUGUUUGAACCCAUCUGGAUCUCAUCUCUGAAUGCGCCACACUUAGCAGCAUCACUUCAUUAAGGCCCCGUUUACACAAAGGGAAAACGCAGAUAUUUCCACGCGGUUUGGCCUCUCAUUUACACGAAAACGCAGUUAUCACAGAAAACGAUCAUUUCUAAAAACUCCGGCCGAAGUGGAGAUUUCUGAAAACGCCGGUUAUGUGUUGUCGUGUCAACGGGGAGAAACAGGGUUUUAGGUUCUGAAGCGUCACAUUAUGCGCCAGGAAAUGCUUAACGUCAUAGGAGCGCCCUAUGUUUACAGUUUGUUUGUUACAGGAAGACGCUCGUGUUAUUCGUUGUUGAUUCUGAGGAUUCUGAUUGGCUUUCAUGGCUUUAUCCUUCUCCCUACACUGCCGCCCAUAGGUUUGGCAUAGUUAUAAUGGCGCUCGACGGCGUAUUUAUGCGUUUUGCUGUAAACGACAACUUUUUUGAAAACGAUGUGUGCACAAUGUUAUAACGGAGGGGGGGAAAUAUUUGUUUCCAUAAAUACCCUGCUACGUA